UCCCUGGUGGUCAAGUGGUUAAGACUCUGUGCUUCCAUUGCAAAGACACGGGUUUGAUUCUUGGUCAGGGAA
rnacentral:tRNA from 1 species